GACAGAGGCCUCGAGCGUUAGGCGGAAUCACUGGGCUUAAAGCGUGUGUAGGCGGGCCCGUAAGUGUCUUGUGAAAUCCCACGGCUCAACCGUGGAACUGCUGGGCAUACUGCGGGUCUUGGGCCAACUAGGGGCAGCCGGAACAAGCGGUGGAGCGGUGAAAUGCGUAGAUAUCAUUUGGAACGCCAAUGGUGAAAACAGCUCGCUGGGGGUUUGCUGACGCUGAGACACGAAAGCCAGGGGAGCAAACGGG
rnacentral:rRNA from 1 species